GGAUGUGAGGGUAAUCUGGCCUCCCAUUGAUUACCAGGGUUAAUUUGGGUGGUCCAGCUAACUAUGUGGGUGUUACUUUCCUAAACUGCUCCAUGUGCAUCCCUUCUGAAGCUGCAUGCUCAAACAAAGAAAAUAAUCUUCUCCAGUAUAGACAUAUUGUUCUUUGGUCAAAGGUAUAUGAGUAGCUGUGUUCCCCUGCUACAACAUACUCCCAAGGUCCAUUCGUAGGAGAAUGUAGAGUAAUCAAGUAUCCAAGACUUCAGACACAUUCAAAUGAUGUGCUGCAUGUGGCAGUCUACUUUCCUUU
rnacentral:snRNA from 1 species